rnacentral:rRNA from 1 species
ACCGGCAGCUCAAGUGGUGGCCAUUAUUAUUGGGCCUAAAGCGUUCGUAGCCGGUUUGAUAAGUCUCUGGUGAAAUCCCGCAGCUUAACUGUGGGACUUGCUGGAGAUACUAUCAGACUUGAGGUCGGGAGAGGUUAGGGGUACUCCCAGGGUAGGGGUGAAAUCCUAUAAUCCUGGGAGGACCACCUGUGGCGAAGGCGCCUAACUGGAACGAACCUGACGGUGAUUAGCGAACGAGCGGGGCGUUAUCCG